GUCAUUCACAAGUGGCUCCAGUCUGGUUUGGGGGUCUACCCUUUCUCAUCAUGUCCUGCCACCCAAUAAAGCCAUUCACAAGUGGCUCCAGCCUGGUUUGGGGGUCUAGCCUUUCUCAUCCUGUCCUGCCACCCAAUAAAGCCAUUCACAAGUGGCUCCAGCCUGGUUUGGGGGUCUAGCCUUUCUCAUCCUGUCCUGCCACCCAAUAAA